UGCAGUCGACGGUAACAGCACUUCGGUGGCUGACGAGUGGCGCACGGGUGCGUAACGCGUAUACAAUCUGCCUCCCACAGGGGAAUAGCCCAGAGAAAUUUGGAUUAAUGCCCCAUGGCAUAUAUUUUCGGCAUCGUUAAUAUAUUAAAGAUUCAUCGGUGGGAGAUGAGUAUGCGUUCUAUUAGCUAGUAGGUGCGGUAACGGCGCACCUAGGCGACGAUAGAUAGGGGCCCUGAGAGGGGGAUCCCCCACACUGGUACUGAGACACGGACCAGACUCCUACGGGGGGCAGCAGUGAGGAAUAUUGGACAAUGGGCGGGAGCCUGAUCCAGCCAUGCCGCGUGCAGGAAGACUGCCCUAUGGGUUGUAAACUGCUUUUAUACGGGAAGAAACACCCCCUCGUGAGGGGGCUUGACGGUACCGUAAGAAUAAGGAUCGGCUAACUCCGUGCCAGCAGCCGCGGUAAUACGGAGGAUCCAAGCGUUAUCCGGAAUCAUUGGGUUUAAAGGGUCCGUAAGUGGACGGUUAAGUCAGAGGUGAAAUCCUGCAGCUCAACUGUAGAAUUGCCUUUGAUACUGGUCGUCUUGAGUCAUUGUGAGGUGGUUGGAAUAUGUAGUGUAGCGGUGAAAUGCAUAGAUAUUACAUAGAACACCGAUUGCGAAGGCAGAUCACUAACGAUGUACUGACACUGAUGGACGAAAGCGUGGGGGAGCGAACAGGAUUAGAUACCCUGGUAGUCCACGCCGUAAACGAUGGUCACUAGCUGUCCGGACCUUGAGUCUGGGUGGCUAAGCGAAAGUGAUAAGUGACCCACCUGGGGGAGUACGUUCGCAAGAAUGAAACUCAAAGGAAUUGACGGGGGCCCGCACAGCGGGUGGAGCAUGCGGUUUAAUUCGAUAGAUACCGCGAGGAACCUUACCAGGGCUUAAAUGUAGUGGGACAGGUCUAGAGAUAGGCCCUUCUUCGGACUCAUUACAAGGUGCUGCAUGGUUGUCGUCAGCUCGUGCCGUGAGGUGUCAGGUUAAGUCCUAUAACGAGCGCAACCCCUGUUGUUAGUUGCCAGCGAGUGAUGUCGGGAACUCUAACAAGACUGCCGGUGCAAACCGUGAGGAAGGUGGGGAUGACGUCAAAUCAUCACGGCCCUUACGUCCUGGGCUACACACGUGCUACAAUGGCCGGUACAGAGAGCAGCCACACCGCGAGGUGGAGCGAAUCUACAAAACCGGUCACAGUUCGGAUCGGAGUCUGCAACUCGACUCCGUGAAGCUGGAAUCGCUAGUAAUCGCAUAUCAGCCAUGAUGCGGUGAAUACGUUCCCGGGCCUUGUACACACCGCCCGUCAAGCCAUGGAAGCUGGGAGUGCCUGAAGUCCGUCACCGCAAGGA
rnacentral:rRNA from 1 species